rnacentral:snRNA from 1 species
AGCUUUGCGCAGUGACAAUAUCGUAGCCAAUGAGGUUUAUCCGAGGCACAAUUAUUGCUAAUUGAAAUUACGAUUUUCCUACUUUAUGAUUGUUUAGUACUGGUAGAUCCUUCAUUAUCGAACUCAGACAUCCUUAUUAUCAGUCUAGUGAUUUUUGCUGCUGUUCUGU